rnacentral:snRNA from 1 species
GUGCUCAUGGCAGCACAUUUACUAAAAUUGGAAUGAUACAGAGAAGAUUAGCAUGGCCCCUGCGUAAGGAUGACACACAAAUUCGUGAAGCAGUCCAUAUUUUU